UCUUCAUUUCAUACACUCUCUCGACUCUCUGAUCGGUGAGAAAGUGUGAGAAAUGAAGAGA
rnacentral:pre_miRNA from 1 species